CCUACGGUAGUCAGCAGUGAGGAAUAUUGGUCAAUGGGCGCGAGCCUGAACCAGCCAAGUCGCGUGAGGGAAGACGGUCCUAUGGAUUGUAAACCUCUUUUGUCGGGGAGCAAAAGACGCCACGCGUGGCGUUCCGAGAGUACCCGAAGAAAAAGCAUCGGCUAACUCCGGUCCAGCAGCCUCGGUAAUACGGAGGAUGCGAGCGUUAUCCGGAUUUAUUGGGUUUAAAGGGUGCGCAGGGGGAAGAUCAAGUCAUGGGUAAAAUUGAGGGGCUCAACCUCUCAGAGCCGUUGAAAAUGGUUUUCUUGAGUGAGCGAGAAGUAUGCGGAAUGCGUGGUGUAGCGGUGAAAUGCAUAGAUAUCACGCAGAACUCCGAUUGCGAAGGCAGCAUACCGGCGCUCAACUGACGCUCAUGCACGAAAGUGUGGGUAUCGAACAGGAUUAGAUACCCGAGUAGUC
rnacentral:rRNA from 1 species